UACAGAGGUCUCGAGCGUUAGGCGGAAUCACUGGGCUUAAAGCGUGUGUAGGCGGGUCGUUAAGUGCCUUGUGAAAUCCCAUGGCUCAACCAUGGAACUGCUGGGCAUACUGGCGAUCUUGUGCAACCUAGGGGCGAGCGGAACAGAUGGUGGAGCGGUGAAAUGCGUAGAUAUCAUCUGGAACGCCAAUGGUGAAAACAGCUCGCUGGGGGUCUUCUGACGCUGAGACACGAAAGCCAGGGGAGCGAACGGG
rnacentral:rRNA from 1 species